UACGAAGGGGGCUAGCGUUGCUCGGAAUUACUGGGCGUAAAGGGAGCGUAGGCGGAUAGUUUAGUCAGGGGUGAAAUCCCGGGGCUCAACCUCGGAACUGCCUUUGAUACUGGCUAUCUUGAGUAUGGGAGAGGUGUGUGGAACUCCGAGUGUAGAGGUGAAAUUCGUAGAUAUUCGGAAGAACACCAGCGGCGAAGGCGACACACUGGCCCAUUACUGACGCUGAGGCUCGAAAGCGUGGGGAGCAAACAGG
rnacentral:rRNA from 1 species